GCCCGGAGUCGCUCCUCUUCCUGUUGCCGCAGCGGUGAUGUGCGCUGCUCAGUGCGGGUGUGACGAUGUGGAGACUCGCUUCAGGCAGGGGCUGGACCUGCCUGUGUGACAUGGACCAGCUGCUCAGGACUCCUCCUGGAGAAUGAGGUGGACCCGGGAUCCUUGGCGACGUGGUCCCUCUGGAUCCUCUGCAGCGGCCGAGUCAUGAAGGUGUGUGAAGCUGCAUGAAGCCCAGAGCCUCAUGGGGAAGAGGAAGACGCCCCGCGGGCCCUCAGGGACCUGCAGGAGUGCAGGUCAGAGGUCAGCCUGAGAGGAGAUCAUGUCCAACAUGUUGACCUGGUGAAGCUGAAGCCCGAGGCCAGCGAGGCUCCUCUGAGGACAGAACGUCUUCAGGAGGAGCUGAGGGGAGGAGCCUGGCCUGACCCGACCCUACCUGACCUGAGGUGUGUGAAGCUGCAUGAAGCCCAGAGCCUCAUGGGGAAGAGGAAGACGCCCCGCGGGCCCUCAGGGACCUGCAGGAGUGCAGGUCAGAGGUCAGCCUGAGAGGAGAUCAUGUCCAACAUGUUGACCUGGUGAAGCUGAAGCCCGAGGCCAGCGAGGCUCCUCUGUGUGGAGAUGAAGACGAGACCUCCUGCUGCUUCCUGAAGAAUCUGAAACGUUCUCAUCAAUAAAAGUUCCUGAAAAGCUCCCGAUUUGUCUUUAUUCUCUGGUUUUAAAUGGAUUUAGCCUCCUGCUGUUGGGGAAAAAGUCACUGCUGUUGUUCUGGAUUCAGUAAGAAUUGGAUGUAAUAAAUCGUUUG